rnacentral:rRNA from 1 species
GAUGAACGCUAGCGGGAGGCCUAACACAUGCAAGCCGACCGGUAGAGUUCCUUCGGGAACUUGAGAGCGGCGUACGGGUGCGUAACACGUAUGCAACCUACCUUUAUCUGGGGGAUAGCCUUUCGAAAGGAAGAUUAAUACCCCAUAAUAUAAUGAUUGGCAUCAAUUAUUAUUGAAAACUCCGGUGGAUAGAGAUGGGCACGCGCAAGAUUAGAUAGUUGGUGAGGUAACGGCUCACCAAGUCAAUGAUCUUUAGGGGUCCUGAGAGGGAGAUCCCCCACACGGGUACUGAGACACGGCCCAAACCCCAACGGGGGGCAGAGGUGGGGAAUAUGAGAAAAUGGGUGAAAGCCUUACCCAGCCAUCCCGUGUAAAGGAUUACGUUCCUAUGGAUUUUAAACUUCUUUUUAAAAGGAAAAAACCUACUCGCGUGAGGGUAGCGGAAGGUACUGUACGAAAGAGCACCGGCUAACCCCGU